UACGUAGGGUGCGAGCGUUAAUCGGAUUUACUGGGCGUAAAGCGUGCGGAGGCGGCCCGUUAAGACAGGUGUGAAAUCCCUGGGCUCAACCUAGGAAUUGCGCUUGUGACUGGCGGGCGCGAGUACGGUAGAGGGGGGUGGAAUUCCUGGUGUAGCAGUGAAAUGCGUAGAGAUCAGGAGGAACACCGAUGGCGAAGGCAGCCCCCUGGGCCUGUACUGACGCUCAUGCACGAAAGCGUGGGGAGCAAACAGG
rnacentral:rRNA from 1 species